UCCCGCGUGGUCUAGCGGUUAGGAUUCCUGGCUCUCACCCGGGCGGCCCGGGUUCGACUCCCGGCGCGGGAG
rnacentral:tRNA from 1 species